rnacentral:ncRNA from 1 species
AUCAUGACUUUUCCUUGAAGACAGUGUCAAGCGGGAAGUUUGACUGGGACGGUACAUCUAUCAAAUCGUAACGUAGGUGUCCUAAGGCGAGCUCAGAGAGGACGGAAACCUCUCGUAGAGCAAACAAGCAAAAGCUUGCAUGAUCUUGACUUUCAGUACGAGUACAGAUCGCAAAGCGUGGCCUAUCGAUCCUUUCAAUCCUGAUUGUUUCAGGUAAGAGUUGUCAGAAAAGUUAC